ACAUACAGGGCUUAUGAUGCUGUGGAUGAAAUUAGAACUGCAUUUUCAAUUGCAUUUAAUCCUGCGGGGAACAAAUCCAUAAGAGCGUUUCACGUACAUCGCCCUGGUAGGGAUUUUGAGAAGCACUCAACCCUUGAAGGAAACAAAGAAGGUCAAAUAGGUAUCAUAUCUGCCCUCGCUUUCUCUCGAGCUCAUACCAGAAUGCUGGCGACUGGUUCCUACAGCCAGACUAUUGCAAUUUACAAAGAUGAUAACUUGGAACUCUUACACAUCUUACGUAGUCAGCAUGAUGGGGUUACCCAUAAUAAAAAUGCAAUUCCGGGUGUUAUUUUUGAAAGAUUGGAAACUACUUGUAUACUGGAGGAGGAAAGGAAGAAUGCUCUAAAUCUUCUCUUUUCCUUUUCUCGGCAAUAUGUGGUAGUAGGAGUUCAGGCGUCCUCUUUGGCAUAUGCAAAGUCUACGAGAUUGGAUACACCCGAAUAUAGAGCCAGAUAUAAAAUACAACAGGAAAAGACGAGAUACACGGGGAAA